GAUGAACGCUGGCGGCGUGCCUAAUACAUGCAAGUCGAGCGAACGGACGAGAAGCUUGCUUCUCUGAUGUUAGCGGCGGACGGGUGAGUAACACGUGGAUAACCUACCUAUAAGACUGGGAUAACUUCGGGAAACCGGAGCUAAUACCGGAUAAUAUUUUGAACCGCAUGGUUCAAAAGUGAAAGACGGUCUUACUGUCACUUAUAGAUGGAUCCGCGCUGCAUUAGCUAGUUGGUAAGGUAACGGCUUACCAAGGCAACGAUGCAUAGCCGACCUGAGAGGGUGAUCGGCCACACUGGAACUGAGACACGGUCCAGACUCCUACGGGAGGCAGCAGUAGGGAAUCUUCCGCAAUGGGCGAAAGCCUGACGGAGCAACGCCGCGUGAGUGAUGAAGGUCUUCGGAUCGUAAAACUCUGUUAUUAGGGAAGAACAUAUGUGUAAGUAACUGUGCACAUCUUGACGGUACCUAAUCAGAAAGCCACGGCUAACUACGUGCCAGCAGCCGCGGUAAUACGUAGGUGGCAAGCGUUAUCCGGAAUUAUUGGGCGUAAAGCGCGCGUAGGCGGUUUUUUAAGUCUGAUGUGAAAGCCCACGGCUCAACCGUGGAGGGUCAUUGGAAACUGGAAAACUUGAGUGCAGAAGAGGAAAGUGGAAUUCCAUGUGUAGCGGUGAAAUGCGCAGAGAUAUGGAGGAACACCAGUGGCGAAGGCGACUUUCUGGUCUGUAACUGACGCUGAUGUGCGAAAGCGUGGGGAUCAAACAGGAUUAGAUACCCUGGUAGUCCACGCCGUAAACGAUGAGUGCUAAGUGUUAGGGGGUUUCCGCCCCUUAGUGCUGCAGCUAACGCAUUAAGCACUCCGCCUGGGGAGUACGACCGCAAGGUUGAAACUCAAAGGAAUUGACGGGGACCCGCACAAGCGGUGGAGCAUGUGGUUUAAUUCGAAGCAACGCGAAGAACCUUACCAAAUCUUGACAUCCUUUGACAACUCUAGAGAUAGAGCUUUCCCCUUCGGGGGACAAAGUGACAGGUGGUGCAUGGUUGUCGUCAGCUCGUGUCGUGAGAUGUUGGGUUAAGUCCCGCAACGAGCGCAACCCUUAAGCUUAGUUGCCAUCAUUAAGUUGGGCACUCUAAGUUGACUGCCGGUGACAAACCGGAGGAAGGUGGGGAUGACGUCAAAUCAUCAUGCCCCUUAUGAUUUGGGCUACACACGUGCUACAAUGGACAAUACAAAGGGCAGCGAAACCGCGAGGUCAAGCAAAUCCCAUAAAGUUGUUCUCAGUUCGGAUUGUAGUCUGCAACUCGACUACAUGAAGCUGGAAUCGCUAGUAAUCGUAGAUCAGCAUGCUACGGUGAAUACGUUCCCGGGUCU
rnacentral:rRNA from 1 species